GUAGGGAAUAUUGCGCAAUGGACGAAAGUCUGACGCAGCGACGCCGCGUGAGUGAUGAAGGCCUUAGGGUCGUAAAGCUCUGUUGAAUGGGAAGAAAAAAAUGACGGUACCAUUCGAUGAAGGACCGGCUAACUUCGUGCCAGCAGCCGCGGUAAUACGAGGGGUCCUAGCGUUGUUCGGAAUCAUUGGGCGUAAAGGGUGUGUAGGUGGCCAUGUAAGUCAGGUGUGAAAGCCCCGGGCUCAACCCGGGAAGUGCACUUGAUACUGCGUGGCUUGAGUACCGAAGAGGGUAGUGGAAUUCCAGGUGUAGUGGUGAAAUACGUAGAUAUCUGGAGGAACACCGGUGGCGAAGGCGGCUACCUGGUCGAGUACUGACACUGAGACACGAAAGCAUGGGGAUCAAACAGGAUUAGAAACCCGAGUAGUCC
rnacentral:rRNA from 1 species